rnacentral:tRNA from 2 species
GCGGGUGUAGUUGAGUGGUUCAACGCCACCUUCCCAAGGUGGUAACGGGGGUUCGAUUCCCCUCACCCGCUCCA